CCAACUCACCGGAAGGGCCUCCUGGAAGGAAACCUACAGGUCCUCCCAUCCUCCGGCUGAAGUUGUGUUGGGUCAGCGGGUCAACCAGAAGGAGAAGAAAUGGUGACUUGUGGCGCAAACCUUGAAAUAUUGUGUCCAGCAAAAGAAACCCUACAGGAAAGAAUGCACGUGAAGUUUGAGAAUAAACAAAACUCAUCGGUGGUGA